GGGGAAUUAGCUCAGUUGGCUAGAGCGUCUCAAUGGCAUUGAGAAGGUCGGGGGUUCGACUCCCCCAUUCUCCA
rnacentral:tRNA from 1 species